rnacentral:tRNA from 1 species
GCCAUCCUAGCUCAGCAGGUAGAGCAGCUCACUCGUAAUGAGCAGGUCGUGAGUUCGAGUCUCACGGAUGGCU